UACGUAGGGUGCAGGCGUUAAUCGGAAUUACUGGGCGUAAAGCGUGCGCAGGCGGUCUACUAAGACAGGUGUGAAAUCCCCGGGCUUAACCUGGGAACUGCGCUUGUAACUGGUAGGCUUGAGUGUGGCAGAGGGGGGUGGAAUUCCAGGUGUAGCAGUGAAAUGCGUAGAGUAUCUGGAGGAACACCGAUGGCGAAGGCAGCCCCCUGGGCUAACACUGACGCUCCAUGCAC
rnacentral:rRNA from 1 species